AACGAACGCUGGCGGCAGGCUUAACACAUGCAAGUCGAGCGCAUCCUUCGGGGUGAGCGGCAGACGGGUGAGUAACGCGUGGGAACGUACCCUUUCCUACGGAAUAGCUCCGGGAAACUGGAAUUAAUACCGUAUACGCCCUUAGGGGGAAAGAUUUAUCGGGGAAGGAUCGGCCCGCGUUGGAUUAGCUAGUUGGUGGGGUAAAGGCCUACCAAGGCGACGAUCCAUAGCUGGUCUGAGAGGAUGAUCAGCCACAUUGGGACUGAGACAUGGCCCAAACUCCUACGGGAGGCAGCAGUGGGGAAUAUUGGACAAUGGGUGCAAGCCUGAUCCAGCCAUGCCGCGUGAGUGAUGAAGGCCUUAGGGUUGUAAAGCUCUUUCAGUAGGGAAGAUAAUGACGGUACCUACAGAAGAAGCCCCGGCUAACUUCGUGCCAGCAGCCGCCGUAA
rnacentral:rRNA from 1 species